GACGAACGCUGGCGGCGUGCCUAACACAUGCAAGUCGAACGGGGUGAAGCCCUUCGGGACUUCACUUAGUGGCGAACGGGUGAGUAACGCGUGAGGAACCUGCCUUUCAGUGGGGGACAACAGUUGGAAACGACUGCUAAUACCGCAUGAUACUUUUCGAUGGCAUCAUCGAAAAGUCAAAGAUUUAUUGCUGAAAGAUGGCCUCGCGUCUGAUUAGCUAGUUGGUGGGGUAACGGCCCACCAAGGCGACGAUCAGUAGCCGGUCUGAGAGGAUGAACGGCCACAUUGGGACUGAGAUACGGCCCAGACUCCUACGGAAGGCAGCAGUGGGGAAUAUUGGGCAAUGGGCGAAAGCCUGACCCAGCGACGCCGCGUGAGUGAAGAAGUAUUUCGGUAUGUAAAGCUCUAUCAGCAGGGAAGAUAAUGACGGUACCUGACUAAGAAGCCCCGGCUAACUACGUG
rnacentral:rRNA from 1 species